UGAGUACGAGAUGCUACGGCAUCGAAGCAGUCUAUGUCAUACUUCCAAGAAAAGCUUGCACUGUCAGAAACAGAUAAUGCCUGUACCAUAACCGACACAGGUGGGUAGGUAGAGUAUACUAAGGGGCGCGAGAUAACUCUCUCUAAGGAACUCGGCAAAAUGACUCCGUAACUUCGGGAGAAGGAGUGCCUUAUUUUUAAGGUUGCAAUAACAAGAUCCAAGCAACUGUUUACCAAAAACACAGGUCUCCGCUAAGUCGUAAGACGAUGUAUGGGGGCUGACGCCUGCCCAGUGCCAGGGUUAAAGAAGUCGGUUAGCAUUCGCGAAGCUGGUAACUGAAGCCCUGGUGAACGGCGGCCGUAACGAUAACGGUCCUAAGGUAGCGAAAUUCCUUGUCGGGUAAGUUCCGACCCGCACGAAAGGCGUAAUGAUUUGGAUACUGUCUCGGAGAGGGGCUCGGUGAAAUAGACUUGUCUGUGAAGAUGCGGACUACCUGCACCUGGACAGAAAGACCCUAUGAAGCUUUACUGUAACUUGAAAUUGAAAUUGGACUUUAUUUGCGCAGUAUAGGUGGGAGGCGUUGAAAAUAUUCUUGCGGGAAUAUUGGAGCCAUCAGUGAGAUACCACUCUUGUAAUGUUAGAUUUCUAACUUUAUAUCAUUAUCUGGUUAAAGAACAGUUUCAGGCGGGCAGUUUGACUGGGGCGGUCGCCUCCCAAAUGGUAACGGAGGCGCACAAAGGUUUCCUCUGAACGGGUAGAAAUCGUAUCUAGAGUGUAAAGGCAUAAGGAAGCUUGACUGUGAGACCUACAAGUCGAGCAGGGACGAAAGUCGGUCUUAGUGAUCUGACGGUGCUGAGUGGAAAGGCCGUCACUCAACGGAUAAAAGUUACUCUAGGAUAACAGGCUGAUCUCCCCCAAGAGUUCACAUCGACGGGGAGGUUUGGCACCUCGAUGUCGGCUCAUCGCAUCCUGGGGCGGUAGUACGUCCCAAGGGUUGGGCUGUUCGCCCAUGAAAGCGGUACGCGAGCUGGGUUCAGAACGUCGUGAGACAGUUCGGUCCAUAUCCGGUGUAGGCGUUAGAAUAUUGAGAGGAGCCUUCUUUAGUACGAGAGGACCGAGAAGGACAUACCUCUGGUGUACCAGUUAUCGUGCCAACGGUAAACGCUGGGUAGCUAUGUAUGGAGUGGAUAACCGCUGAAAGCAUCUAAGUGGGAAGCCCACCUCAAGAUAAG
rnacentral:rRNA from 1 species